AUUGAACGCUGGCGGCAGGCUUAACACAUGCAAGUCGAGCGGAGAGAGGUAGCUUGCUACUGAUCUUAGCGGCGGACGGGUGAGUAAUGCUUAGGAAUCUGCCUAUUAGUGGGGGACAACAUUUCGAAAGGAAUGCUAAUACCGCAUACGUCCUACGGGAGAAAGCAGGGGAUCUUCGGACCUUGCGCUAAUAGAUGAGCCUAAGUCGGAUUAGCUAGUUGGUGGGGUAAAGGCCUACCAAGGCGACGAUCUGUAGCGGGUCUGAGAGGAUGAGCCGCAACACUGGGACUGAGACACGGCCCAGACACCUAAGGGAGGUAGCAGUGGGGAAUAUUUGACAAUGGGCGGAAGCCUGAUCCAGCCAUGCCGCGUGUGUGAAGAAGGCCUUAUGGUUGUAAAGCACUUUAAGCGAGGAGGAGGCUACUUUAGUUAAUACCUAGUGAUAGUGGAUGUUACUCGCAGAAUAAGCACCGGCUAACUCUGUGCCAGCAGCCGCGGUAAUAC
rnacentral:rRNA from 1 species